AUUGAACGCUGGCGGCAGGCCUAACACAUGCAAGUCGGGCGAAAGGCGGACGGGUGAGCAAUGUCUGGGAAACUGCCUGAUGGAGGGGGAAAAGUACUGGAAACGGUAGCUAAUACCGCAUAACAUCAGAUGUGCCCAGAUGGGAUUAGCUAGUAGGUGGGGUAAUGGCUCACCUAGGCGACGAUCCCUAGCUGGUCUGAGAGGAUGACCAGCCACACUGGAACUGAGACACGGUCCAGACUCCUACGGGAGGCAGCAGUGGGGAAUAUUGCACAAUGGGCGAAAGCCUGAUGCAGCCAUGCCGCGUGUAUGAAGAAGGCCUUCGGAUUGUAAAGUACUUUCAGCGGGGAGGCGUUACUCGCAGAAGAAGCACCGGCUAACUCCGUGCCAGCAGCCGCGGUAAUAC
rnacentral:rRNA from 1 species